CUGGUGUGUGUGUGUGUGUGUGUGUGUGUGUGUGUGUGUGUGUGUGUGUGUGUGUGUGUGUGUGUGUGUGUGUGUGUGUGUGUGUGUGUGUGUGUGGAGCAUCCAUCGCUGUGAUUGGCACUGGUUAAAGUUUCUCAGCUGAAGGGGCUCUGGGUGGAACUCACAGCCCUCAUACUCCUCCAUCCUCUCCAUCCUCUGCACCU